AUGGCGCAGGCGGAGAGCGAGCGCAUGCGCGUGGUCAUGUUCCCGUGGCUGGCGCACGGCCACAUCAGCCCGUACCUCGAGCUGGCCAAGCGCCUCAUCGCCAGCGCCUCCGAUGGCCGCCACCACCUCGACGUCGUCGUCCACCUCGUCUCCACGCCGGCCAACCUCGCGCCCCUCGCGCACCACCAGACGGACAGGCUCAGGCUCGUCGAGCUCCACCUGCCGGCGCUCCCUGACCUCCCGCCCGCGCUGCACACCACCAAGGGCCUCCCCGCCCGCCUCAUGCCGGUCCUCAAGCGCGCCUGCGACCUCGCCGCGCCGCGCUUCGGCGCGCUCCUCGACGAGCUCUGCCCGGACAUCCUCGUCUACGACUUCAUCCAGCCGUGGGCGCCGCUCGAGGCCAAGGCGCGCGGCGUUCCGGCGGUCCACUUCGCAACCUGCGGCGCCGCCGCCACGGCCUUCUUCAUCCACUGCCUCAAGACGGACCGGCCCCCCAGCGCCUUCCCGUUCGAGAGCAUCAGCCUCGGCGGCGUCGACGAGGACGCCAAGUACACGGCGCUGGUCGCCGUCCGCGAAGACAGCACCGCCCUGGUUCCCGAGCGCGAUCGCCUGCCGCUCAGCCUGGAGCGCUCGUCCGGGUUCGUGGCCGUCAAGACCUGCGCCGAGAUCGAGCGCAAGUACAUGGACUACCUGUCCCAGCUUUUGGGCAAGGAGAUCAUCCCCACCGGCCCGUUGCUCGUCGACUCCGGUGGGUCGGAAGAGCAACGCGACGGCGGGCGCAUCAUGCGGUGGCUCGACGGCGAGGAGCCGGGCACCGUGGUAUUCGUCUCCUUCGGCAGCGAGUACUUCAUGUCGGAGCGCCAGAUGGCGCAGAUGGCGCGCGGGCUGGAGCUCAGCGGGGCACCCUUCCUGUGGGCGGUGCGGUUCCCGAACGCAGAGGACGACGCCCGCGGCGCGGCGAGGUCCAUGCCGUCGGGGUUCGCGCCAGCGCGCGGGCUGGUGGUGGAAGGGUGGGCGCCGCAGCGGCGCAUCCUGUCGCACCCUUCCUGCGGCGCGUUCCUGACCCACUGCGGGUGGAGCUCGGUGCUGGAGUCGAUGGCGGAGGGGGUGCCGAUGGUGGCGCUGCCGCUGCACAUCGACCAGCCGCUGAACGCCAACCUCGCGGUGGAACUGGGCGCGGCGGCCACGCGCGUGAAGCAGGAGCGGUUCGGGGAGUUCACAGCGGAGGAAGUGGCGCGGGCGGUGCGCGCGGCUGUGAAUGGGGAAGAAGGGCAGGCGGCGAGGCGCCGUGCGAGGGAGCUGCGGGAGGUGGUGGCGCGGAACAACGGCGACGGCCGGCAGAUCGCGGCGAUGCUACAGAGGAUGGCGCGGCUCUGCGGCAAGGGCCAGGCCGUGCCAAAUUAG
rnacentral:rRNA from 1 species